rnacentral:rRNA from 1 species
CAUUACCUACGUGUAGGUAUUUGCCGGUACUUCAGGAAUAAGGAUCGGCUAACUCCGUGCCAGCAGCCGCGGUAAUACGGAGGAUCCGAGCGUUAUCCGGAUUUAUUGGGUUUAAAGGGUGCGUAGGCGGUAUAAUAAGUCAGUGGUGAAAGUCUGUGACUCAACCAUAGAAGUGCCAUUGAAACUGUUAUACUUGAGUAUAGAUGAGGUAUGCGGAAUGUGUAAUGUAGCGGUGAAAUGCUUAGAUAUUACACAGAACACCGAUUGCGAAGGCAGCAUACUAAGCUAUAACUGACGCUGAUGCACGAAAGCGUGGGUAGCGAACAGGAUUAGAUACCCUGGUAGUCCACGCCGUAAACGAUGAUCACUCGUUGUUGGCGACAUAAAGUCAGUGACUGAGCGAAAGCAUUAAGUGAUCCACCUGGGGAGUACGUUGGCAACGAUGARACUCAAAGGAAUUGACGGGGGCCCGCACAAGCGGAGGAACAUGUGGUUUAAUUCGAUGAUACGCGAGGAACCUUACCCGA